GAUGAAGAACGUAGUGAAAUGCGACAAGUAAUGUGAAUUGCAGAAUUCCGUGAAUCAUCGAAUCUUUGAACGCACAUUGCGCCCCCUGGUAUUCCGGGGGGCAUGCCUGUCCGAGCGUCAUUGCUGCCCUCAAGCACGGCUUGUGUGUUGGGCCCCGCCCCCCGGCUCCCGGGGGGCGGGCCCGAAAGGCAGCGGCGGCACCGCGUCCGGUCCUCGAGCGUAUGGGGCUUCGUCACCCGCUCCGUAGGCCCGGCCGGCGCCCGCCGGCGACCCCCCUCAAUCUUUUCAGGUUGACCUCGGAUCAGGUAGGGAUACCCGCUGAACUUAAGCAUAUCAAUAAGCGGAGGA
rnacentral:misc_RNA from 1 species